GGAAAUUUGAAACUCGAACAUUUGAGCGGGGCGGUGAGGCCGAAACCCUAGAUGGCGCACGCUCCUCUUCUCCUCCACCGCCAUUAGUGCCGGCGCCGGUGUUCUCCCUCUCCGUUGCGGUAACGCCACCUUCCAGGCUUCGCUCUCUCCGCUUCGCUUAAACCUUCCACCUCUUCGUACAGCCGGAAAUCCGAAGUACCCCAAGAACGAGCGGAACCCAAGUAUCGGGAUG
rnacentral:lncRNA from 1 species